CACGGUUUCAUUUGGAAGUAUUUAGAUCGUUCUAAAAUUCAUCAUUUUACUUGAUCUUAUCUGAAACGACUGUCUUGGAGGAAAGAUAUAGCUAAUAUUGCGCUUUGCAAAGUUCUCCAAAGUUCCACUCUCUUUGAGGUCCUCAGAGAACACCCUACAACCGAACGAGGAAGUUUCCAACGAGAGACAACCUCUUUUGCAAGGGCAACCACAGUCUGCACGCCAGUCUCGUCCAGCACAUAAUGACGCAUCCCAGAGAAGUGGCAGGUUUAUUGCCCGGCACGUUGGCAUCCCUGAACUUGAUCAGCGCUUUGAAGAUGUAGCCGAGAUGUUCAACCUGCAGCAAGGGCACCAUGAGGCCAUGAGAGAAUGCCUCAGCACACUCAGGGACCGCUACCACUGUUCCCAUGGCGAUGGACUGAGUGAGUGCUUGAAGAGAAUCAAAGAAGAGCAUGGCACACAUCAAAUCACCUUCCACAUGAAAGGCUACGACUUCUCCCUGGCAGUGGUGCCAAACGAUGAGGUGCCCACCAAGCUAUGCAGUAGCCAGGACCGCAUCCGUGGCCUCUGCCAGGCUUGUAAGGCCAUCGUGGCCGCUGGCACCAAGCUCCAGGAGAUGAUUGGCUGGCUGACAAAGGCAGAGGAGCGGCUGGCCAAUCAGGUGCUGGAGGUGGCCCCCGCCUACCAGGAACAGCGCAGGCUGGAGGACAACCUGAGGGAGAACCUGCAGGAGUGCCAUAGAGCCAGAGAGCUGUCCUCCGCCUACAGGGAGGAGGCCGGGAAGCUCCUUAAUGAAGCAGCGCUGCUGUCGGGCGUCAACCCCUGAUACUCACCCUGACCUUCUACUCUCCUAUCCUAUUCCCCAGGAGCCUAGGUCUAGAUACAGGCACUCUUUGUGGUUCUGAUAUGCUCUGAUAUUUUUGAAAAUGUAAGGAACUUUAAAGCCACUGCAGGUCUAAAGGGAGGAUUUGGGCAUACAGGGUUGCGAAGUUGAUGUCUGUGUAGAGGCAGUGUAUGAAACAUGCUAAAGCCAUUGCACUGAUGUGAUAUCAUCACUCCAUAUCUGCAUCAAAAGGAAUACAUUUAAGAGUUUAUUCAUGUUAUGUAUUGCAUUAGGUAUUAGGCUUUUUGGGGGCCCACUGUGUAGAAUUGUAAUUCAGUGUCCCCCUCACCAUUGCCUGAGAAAUGAAUUAUAAGUAAUGUUAGUCUUGAAAGGAACUGCUGUAGGAAAGUCAUUAUUUGCAUGUGUUUGUGGAUAUGCAGGACUGAGAGCAACUCUACUGAUUUAUAACAGUCAUUAUUCGUCACAUUCCUUGUGCAAACAAUCCUUUUAAGGCAUCACCUUUUCACACAGGGAGGCAUAGAAAGCCUAGAAGCAUUGACAGCCCUAUUCAUCACUUUAACAUUUGUUUAUGAAAGAGAAGCAUUUAAACAGUCAACACUGAGAUGUUUUGCAGACACUCCAGGGUUUAGAUAAUUAGUUGCAACCACGUAAUGUAAGUUAGAAAGACUAACUUAGUAUAGUAUUUCUUCUAGGAUCUGAACUGGCAGGCGGAAGCAUACUUGAAGGGACAACUUUUGUAAUUCAAGACUUUUUUUUGGUUCUGGAACUUAGCCUUAUGAAUGUCAGUUUUGAGAUUAUUGGACUAUUAUAAUGUAAUAAUACUGUAAUAUGUAAACAGAUUGUAUUUUUGUUAUUUUUGCUGAAGUAUGCAAUGGGAAAGCCAUUGGAUUUGUUCACAGACUAUAGUCCAAUAGGCUACUGUACGGCAACUCUAGCAAGUAAAACCGCAGAUUAACUUAAUUUAUGAAGUAAAAUAAGGGAACAGAUCAAAUGGUUAUCACUGUGCAUUCUUUUAAGUAUACAUUCCUUCAUAAUGUAUUUGUUGACAUUUUACAGAACCAAAACACACCAAAAAAGGAAGCAAAUGGAAUAAAAGACCUUAAAUAGGAAAGCCAGAAGCCUAGGCAAUAGAGUGCAUGUAGGCUAAGUUUAGUAAUACAUUUGGAAAGAUAUUUUUAAGGCCAGCUAAAUUUGGCUACUUAAGUCUGGAAACAAUAAAGUCCCUUUAUUAAAAAUAAAACUUUGUUAAAUUGUAGCUUAGUCUUUAUAGCCUAGUUGUUCUCAAAAUAUCUAAAUUGUUUAGACAACUCUGGGAUUGAAAUUGAACAAUAUUGCACAGGCCUGUAAAUAUUAUUACAUUUAAACUGAACGGCAGAAUUUAAAAAAAAAGUUUCUAAUUGCUGAUACAUUUUAACUGAAGCUCAAUCAAAUAGGUCUAUGUGCCGAGCACAGACAAUCUACUGUGUCGAGCGACGAUUGAUUCAACUGAGACAACCUAACUUCCUCGUGGAAAUUAUCGAACCCCACCCUAGAUACU
ensembl:lncRNA